UACGAAGGUGGCAAGCGUUGUUCGGAAUCACUGGGCAUAAAGCGCGCGUAGGCGGCCGGGUCAGUCGGAUGUGAAAUCCCCCAGCUCAACUGGGGAACUGCGUCCGAUACUGCUCGGCUUGAGGCCUGGAGGGGAGAGCGGAAUUCCUGGUGGAGCGGUGAAAUGCGUAGAGAUCAGGAGGAACGCCGGCGGCGAAAGCGGCUCUCUGGACAGGUUCUGACGCUGAGGCGCGAAAGCCAGGGGAGCAAACGGG
rnacentral:misc_RNA from 1 species